rnacentral:lncRNA from 1 species
CAAAUAUCUUCCAAGAAAGUGUAUACUGAUACCUCCUACUUGCGUCAGUUUUGUCAGUUAAAUGUUGAAUUUCAUCCUCAAACAUCGAUGUCUGUCCAAGAUUCAUGCUUGCUCGUAGUUGAAAGAGAGAUAAAGACACAAACAAAACAAUUAAGCUAAAAAAAUUCAAAAAUUAAGUAGCAUCUAUUUGAGUUAUUCGUUACUGACCUGACAUUUGAGCUAACAUUGGAUGGCAUCAUGCAUCUGAUUGUACUAAUGUAAAUCAAAACCCAGUUAGUGAACUAGCAGAUUUCCAAGGAUGUAAGCAGUUUUCUCAUCCAAGUCGAGUCCUCGAUCAAAUCCUUGCAAGUUUUAGGGCUCAUUUGGUGGAACUUUUGAAAAUUCAAAAGUUGUUUUUAAACUUGUUUGGAUAAUUUAUAAAGGUGUCUUGUUGGGUUAGAAAAUUUUUAGAAGUUGGCCUUAAUAUACUCUUUUACAAAAGGCAAAAGCAAAAGUCCAGCAAACAGGCCCUUAAUGUCAAUCAAGGGUUGGUUGGACCAAAGUCCCCUUUUACCAGCCUCGAGAUGCCGGCGUUGCCAAAAAUCCUUGCAUGAGCAGACAUCAUCAAUUGAAGGAUGGAUACGGCUUCCAUACCUCAAAACCUUUUCCCUUCCAACCAGUCUGGAGAAACUCGUGGCAAUAACCACAAAUUCUUCUUGGUAAUCGGAAUUGGGGCACAGCCUCUUGUGCUGAUCAAUCCAAAAGCAAUAGCUAGCAUCUCCCCACUUCUUGUUCUGGUCAAUCCAAAAGCAAUAGCUAGCAUCACUGUGGCUUAAGACUUGAGAGCCUCUCGAAUUUCUUUUUUUCUUCUUCAUCGUGAAGAACCCAAAGAAGAUCAGUAACAUAUCCUCGUUCUUUUGUAGAAGACAACAAUUCCAAUUUUUGAUAAAUUUUGUCCCAUUGACCAUGCAAUUUAUCUCCAACAGCAACGUAGUGAAUCUUAUUUCCUGGAGGUUUUCUUAAAUCCUUCUCUCAUAAUAAUUGUCCUAAUUUUUUUGAUCUCUGACCUUUGGAUACAGCAACAUAGAUAUUCGAUAACAGAACAUAGUUACGUCAUUUGUUGGUUCUAAUACAAUAAGCUUCUCGAAGAUAUACCAGCUUAGUUUCAGAAUACACUUAGACAAGCACCAAGAAGAGAUCUCCAUGCUGAUUCAAUUGGUGCAAUAGGCAUUGUUGACACACAAAAAGUUCAACCUAAGUCGAAUAGUCCAAGAAAUGAAGCCCAACG